UAUCUUAUCUUCAUUGUUUCUAUCGGUCUGUCUCUUCACUUCUCUCACAGCCUCACUUCUCUUCUCUGAGUUCUCUCUCAGUUACCUAAUGAAACCUCUCUCUCACAGAACCUCAAUCUCACAAAUCGAAGAUUAUUCAUAACCCCAUCUCAAAAUUAAAAUCAAGCAUUUUUUUUGUAACCCGAGAUCUAGUUUGAUUAACGGGAAGAAGAAGAUAUCGAAUUGGAGAUUGAACUUAGCUUUUACUUGAGAUUAUUAUUAUUUGAUUAGAUUAGAUUUUAUUGGUAUUGACAUAUUGUUUAAUUCGAUCUGAAGAUAUAGAUUCAUCAUCGACGACAUCAUGUUCUGUUAUUGGUGCUAUUUCUGGUGGUGAUGAAAGAACCAAGAAGAAGAUUUCAUCAGGGGAAGAUGGAUGUAAAAGGGAUUGGAAACAAUCAGCAGAGGACAUCUCUGGACCAAGACAAUCCCCGCACUCUACCUGCUCGAUAAAAGUUAUCAAGGAUCUUUUUAGAUCAUCUCCAGCCUUCCAUCCACCACCAGUUCAAGAAUCAUCACCAUCAUCAAUACCGUAGGACAACUGCCCCUCGCCUGUUUGUGAGUUUGAAAUUAGCUUGUAUAAUGUUGAAUGGUUAUAUCCAGACCAUCAAGAUGUUUAUUACUAGGAGGAAAAUCGUAAAAGAUACGAGUGUUGAUCAUCCACAAAAAAUACAAAUGUCUCAAAGGUUCUGUCUAUGUUCCACAUAUUUGUUCCUCAAGGAAAGAAGUAACAUUUUGAAGUUACUAACAAGAAGACUACCUUAACAAGCAAUUCAGUGAGGAAGGAAGACUGUUCACCUGGAAAAGGAAGAUGCAAUGUUUUGAUCAACAAGGCAAGGAUGGACUGUCAAAGCCUUAGACUCAUAGUUGAGGAUCAUGUAACUAUUUGUGCAUUGCUUGAGGUAUACUAUUCUGAUCAGUUGGGCAUCUCAGUUCAUCUUUCUGCCGGUUUUAGUUUAUUUCAUUGUCUGUAGGUUGGUUUCUACUGAUUGUAAGAAAAUACAUCUUUAAGAAUUAAGAACUUGAAAUGGUGUGAAUUUAGUAGUGGUGUAGAGUUUUCGGGGGCUUUGAACUUGGUGUCAUCUCAAUUCACAUGUGAAUUUUGUUAAUAUUGUACAUCAAAUUUCAAUUUUUGACUUGAAUGGUGAAUGUUUUGAUCAGUUUAUGAAAUGAGCUUCUAAUUUCAA